GGGUAACCUACCUAUAAGACUGGAAUAACUCCGGGAAACCGGGGCUAAUGCCGGAUAACAUUUAGAACCGCAUGGUUCUAAAGUGAAAGAUGGUUUUGCUAUCACUUAUAGAUGGACCCGCGCCGUAUUAGCUAGUUGGUAAGGUAACGGCUUACCAAGGCAACGAUACGUAGCCGACCUGAGAGGGUGAUCGGCCACACUGGAACUGAGACACGGUCCAGACUCCUACGGGAGGCAGCAGUAGGGAAUCUUCCGCAAUGGGCGAAAGCCUGACGGAGCAACGCCGCGUGAGUGAUGAAGGUCUUCGGAUCGUAAAACUCUGUUAUUAGGGAAGAACAAAUGUGUAAGUAACUAUGCACGUCUUGACGGUACCUAAUCAGAAAGCCACGGCUAACUACGUGCCAGCAGCCGCGGUAAUACGUAGGUGGCAAGCGUUAUCCGGAAUUAUUGGGCGUAAAGCGCGCGUAGGCGGUUUCUUAAGUCUGAUGUGAAAGCCCACGGCUCAACCGUGGAGGG
rnacentral:rRNA from 1 species